AUACUCUGGUUUCUCCUCAGAUUGUAUAAAUCUUUCACCUUUUACUAAAGAUUUUCAUGAAAAGGAACAAUUCUCAGCCUGUACUCAAUUUUUUGUGUGCAAGGCCACUUAAAA
rfam:Otolemur garnettii contig046596, whole genome shotgun sequence.